GUAACAUUGUCUUAAAUUGCUGAUAUCAUCGUAUACUGCCCAAUUGUCCAGGUUCCGCCUUUGAAAGACAUUCUUCAAAAAGCUCCACAUAUGACAAAGUGGAACACAGUCCCAAGAAAUGAGGUAAAUUAGGGAAUUUUCUAUGAAUUACCUAGGAGAAGAGAUUGAAAUAUGACAAGGAAAGAAGCUGGAGUUGGAAGCUAGAUAUACCGAAGGGAUGAGGCCAGGACCUUACAAAAGUCAGCCUAUGGGUUAAGGGGUCAGUGGUUGGAUACAACGAAACAAAACCAGGAGUACAGUGGGUUAAGUCAGCAGACCAGAAAUUAUAUUUAUUCAUUAAGAGAAACACUAAAUAUCUCUAUAGUCUACAGGCAAACACAGAAUUCCUGGGGAAGCUCAGUAUCAUUUCUCUCAAUCUAGGUCUUGCUCUCUAAUUCCUGAUUCUGGCCCAAAGCCUUCCUGAUACCCAGCUUGUCUGACAUCCUGUAAAAUCCAUUUCAGAUCCUUUCUCUACCGAGCUGGGAAGUUGUCUCCUGGGUGUUCCACAGCUAUUGUGCUCAGGUCACUCUAAAAGGCUAUCUAUCCUGGAGGAAGGUAGCACUGUAAAAGAGGAGAAAAAGUAAAAUAUAGUAGCCAUGAGAGUAACAAGCAAACACUCCCCCAAUGGACAAUGAAUGUGACAUUUCUCCUGGUCUGUAUGAUCAGCAUGAAUCAAUUGUGCUUUUGAAGACACGGCCCUAAUCCAUACAUGUUAACUUGAGGAUUUACCUUUCCUCACAACGGUAUAGACAACCUAAACCAUCUGGACUUGGAUGUGAAAUUGACGUGAUCAUACAAACAUAUUUCUGAGAAAGAGUUCAUAAGUUUCAUCAGAUUCACAAAGGGAUCUUCCACCCCAUCAUGAUCCUAUUACUCCCACCAGAAUACAGUGACAUGGGAUACUGCAUAACAUCACUUCAGAGCAGGGGACCUGCUUUACAUCAGCUGCAGGCCUACGGGAGCAAGAGGACAACCUUCUGAAGAUACGGCUGAGGCCCCACCGUGGAGACGAUACUCUGUGAGACUGGUGAGCAUCCUCCAGGACGCAGCACACACCCUAAAACAAUGACCAUUAUGUGAUGAGUUGUGUUCCAAUAGGGCCAAACACAUGGGUACAGGAAGCAAGGGGUGGAAGUAGUAAAGGCCCCUCUUACCAUCAUUCCCAGUGACCUGCUGGGGAAUUCGUGCUUCCUAAUCAGGCAUCUUUAGGUUCUGGCGUCUAGAGGUCCUGGUUCUCAGAGGUGAAGGCUUCUACCAGAGGACAGAGGUAGAGUGCUAUUUAACUUUAAGCUGCAGCUGCCACCCACUUUCUUUGAAUCCUUUGUGCCAGGAGACCAGUAGGCAAGAAAAAG
rnacentral:lncRNA from 1 species